rnacentral:lncRNA from 1 species
CUUAUCUCUCUGUUACAAUAGGAUAUAAGAUCCACAAAAAUAGCCAGACACAAUGGCUUAUGCCUGUAAUCCCAGCACUUUGGGAGGCCAGGGCAGGAGGAUCACUUGAACCCAGGUGCUCAAAGACCAGCCAGAGCAACAUAGGGAGAUCCCACCUCUUCAAAAAUUAAAAAAUUAGCUGGGCGUGGUGGUGCAUGCCUGUAGUCCCAGCAGUUUGGGAGGCUGAGGUAGAAGGAUCACUUGAACCCAGGAGGUUGAGGCUGCAGUGAGCCAGGAUCAUGCCACUGCAUUCCAGCCUGAGGGACAAAGUGAGACCUACCUACCUCAAGUUAAAAAAAAAAAAUCCGCAAAAGGCAAAGACUUAAUCCCUUUUAAUGAUUAUUGUAUCUCCAAUUUCUAAAAUACUGUGUGGUAUAUAAUGCACCUUCAGAAAAUAUUUGUUGAAUUCACGCAUUUAGUAAUUAUUUAUUGAACUCCCACUGCAUCCUAGGCACUGGAUUAGCUAGACUUGGGAGGUAAAUGCCUCUGCCUCCAUGUAGUGUCUUUAAAAUAUGAUUCUCGGCCGGGCAUGGUGGCUCACACCUGUAAUCCCAGAGCUUUCAGAGGCUGAGGCGGGCAGAUCACCUGAGGUCACAAGAUCGAGACCAGCCUGGCCAACAUGGUCAAACCCGGUCUCUAAUAAAACUCCAAAAAUUAGCCAGGCAUGGUGGUGGGCACCUGUAAUCCCAGCUACUCAGGACGCUGAGGCAGGAGAAUUGCUCAAACCCAGGAGGCAGAGGUUGCAGUGAGCUGAAAUCAAGCCACUGCACUCCAGCCUGGGUGACAGAACAAGACUCUGUCUCAAAAAAUAAAUAAAUAAAAUAAAGUAUGAUGCUCAUUAAAACCAGAUUGAAAACAAUGGAAAUGUUUUGGAAAUAAAAUAUACACACUGUGCCAGUAUGUGGAUUCAUUACUCAUUAAUUCUAUGACUAUUUUUUGAGAGCCUAUUUGCAGUCACUUGGGGACACAAUAAUAUUAAAGACAGAUUCUGUCCCUGCGGAUAUGGCAUUGAUAAUCUAUCAAGGGAGGUAGACAUUAAGCAACUAAUUAAUCGUGAUUGUGCCAAGUACAUAAAGGAGAAAGACAGGUGCCUAUAAGCACUCAUGAGAUUUCCCUGAGAAAAUGAUACUUACACUUCUACCAAAGGGAUUAGAAGUUACACAAGACAAAAGGGAAGGGAAAAAAAGAACAGUCUCAUCGAAGAAAACAGCUUGUCAGGAAAGAUCUUGCUGUACAGAAAGACCAAGGGGGGCACUGUGGCUCGCGCCUGUAAUCCCAGCACUUUGGGAGGCCGAGGCAGGUGGAUCAUUUGCGCUCAGGAGUUGGAGACCAGCCUAGGCAACAUGGUGAAACCCACAAAAAUACAAAAAAAUUAGCCAGGCAUGAUGGUGUACACCUGUGGUCCCAGCUACUCGGGAGGCUGAGGUGGGAGGAUCACUUGAGCCUGGGAAGUGGAGGUUGCAGUGAGCUGUGUUCACACCACUGCACUCCAGCCUGGGUAACCAAGUGAGACCCUGUCUCAAAACAAAAACAAAAAGAAACAACAACAACAACAAAAAGACCAAGAGAAUAAUCAAGGGAAUAAUGACAGCCAGAGACCAAAGAGGUAGGCAGGGGCCAUAUUCUAUACUCAUGGGCCAAGUGAAGGAUGCUCGCUUUAUUCCAUGGACAGCUGAAGGUUUGUAAGCAGAUGAUCUGAUUUCUACAUUAAAUAGAUGACUCUGGUUUCUGUAUUGAGAAUGGUUUGGCUACACAGACUGCUUAGAUAUGGCAGUAGUCAAGGCGGUAGCAACGGAAAUAGAGAUGCAGACAGCUUUGAGAGAUAUUUAGGAGGUGGAAGUGGCAACACUGAUUGGAAGGGGUUAGGGAAGGGAAAGUGUGAGAGAGAGGAAGACACCCUGGUUCCUGGCGUGAACAGCUGGGUGGAUGAUGGGGAGCUUUUAUGGGAUGUGGAGUGCGAGAAUCCGUGGUUUAGGGUAGAAGACGAGUUCAGUGCAAUCAAGGCACAGCUAUAAAUGUGUACAACUGAGGCAGAAGUUUCAGAAGCAAUGAGUACCCUUACUACCAUAGAAGAUGCUCUGAUUUUUUUUCUUUUUUCUUUUUUUUUAAGAAAUUUUUGGCUAGGCAUGGUGGCUCACACCUGUAAUCCCAGCACUCUGGGAGGCUGAGUUGGAUCAUUUGAGGUCAGGAGCUCGAGACCAGUCUGGCCAACAUGGUGAAACCCUGUCUCUACUAAAAAUACAAAAAUUAGUUGGACAUGGUGGCUCACACCUGUAGUCCCAGCUACUUGGGAGGCUGAGGCAUAAGAAUCGCUUGAACCUGGGAGGCAGACAUUGCAGUGAGCUGAGAUCACACCACUGCACUCCAGCCUGGGCAACAGAGUGAGACUCGGUCUCAAAAAAAAAAAGAAAAGAAUUUUUUUACCCAAUAGUAAAAUAACCAACCAAUGCGCUGAUAUUUUUUAAUCAACUUUGUUGAAGUAUGUUUUACAUAAUAGAUUUUCAUAUGUUUUACAUAAUAUAAUAAAAUUCACCCAUAUUACAUGUACAGUUCAACAGGUUUUGACAAAUGUAUAUACCUGUGUAACCACCACGAUUAAAAUACAGAGCUCUUCUGUCAUUUCCAAAAACUCCCCAGCACCCCUUGGCAGUCAAUUCCCCCUCCAUCUCAGCCCCAGGCUUUCUGUCAUUAUAGUUUGCAUUUUCUAGAAUUCCAUAUAAAUGAAACCAUAGAGCAUAUAUACAGUAUACAUAUGAAAUAGGUAUUCACUUGUAUCUGGCUUUUUUAUUUCCUUGGAGACAGGGUCUUGCUGUGUCACCCAGGCUAGAGUGCAGUGGUGCAAUCACAGCUCACUGCAGCCUCAACCUCCCAGGCUUGAGAAAUCCUCCAUUCCCAGCUAAUUUUGUUUUUUUUUUUUUGGUAGAGACUGGGUCUCUCUUUGUUGCCUAGGCUGGCCUCAGAUUCCUGGGCUCAAGCAAACCUCACACCUCGGCCUCCCAAAGUACUGGGAUUACAGGCUCCAGGCCAUGUAUCUGGCUUCUUUCACUCAGCAUAAUGUUUUUAAGAUUCAUCUAUGACAGGGACCAGCAAACUAGGGCCUGUGGGCCAAAUCUGGCCCAGUACCUGAUUAUGCAAAGGCCUAAGAGCUCAGCAUGACUUUAUAUUUUUAAGAGAUUGAAAAAAAACUCAAAGAAGAAUAUUUUGUGACACAUGUAAAUUAAAUGAAAUCCAAAAUUCAAUGUCUAUAAAUAAAGCUUUAUUGGAACACAGCAACGCUCACUUGUUUACAUACUGUCUGUGGCUGUUUCCAUGCUACAGAAUCAAAUACUUGAGACCGAGAUCGCAAGAACCUAAACUACAGCUUGCAAAGCCUGAAAUAUUUACAACCAGGCCCUUUACAGAAAAAGUCUGCCAACUCCUAAUCUGUGGUGUCCCAUGGAUCAAUAAUGUACUCCCUUUACUUGCAGUACAGUACUCCAUUCCAUUGUAGGGAUAGGCCACAAGUUGUUUACCUGUUUGUCUGUUGAUGGACAUUUGGGUUACUGCCCAAUUAUCCUUAAUCCACGUGAUAUGCUCUGAUGUUUUGCAUCCUAUUUCAUUUUUUAAAAAAUUGCUACUCAUGACCCAAUGGUUGAUAUCACAACCCACUGAUGAACUACUCUCAGUUUGAUAUAGAUGUUAAUUGAAAUAAUGGAGGAUGAAAUUAUGUAGAAGAAGAAAUCAAAAGGACUUUCCAGGCUGGGCACAGUGGCUCACGCCUGUAAUCCCAGCACUUUGGGAGGCUGAGGUGGGUAGAUCACCUAAGGUCAGGAGUUUCAGACCAGCCUGACCAAUAUGAUGAAACCCCGUUUCUACUAAAAAUAAAAAAUUAGCUGGGCAUGGUGGCACGUGCCUGUAAUCCCAGCUACUCAGGAGUCUGAGGCAGGAAAAUCGCUUGAACCUGGGAGGUGGAGGUUGCAGUGAGUCAGCGAGACUCUGUCUCAAAAAAAAAAAAAAAAAAAAAAAGGCUUGCCAGCUGAGUGCUGAGGAAAUCCAACAAUGAAACAUUGGGUGGAGGAGGAGGAAACUCCAAAAGACAUUGAGAAGGAACAGGCAGAAAGGGAAGGUGACGAUCCGGAGAAUUUGAUAUUGUGGGAAGCAUGGAAAGUCAGUUUCAAGAAGAAAGUGAUCAUCUGGUUCUAGGGCUGCUGAGAGGUCAGGUGUGAUGGACUGAGAUGGUUUUAGUGACACUGGUUUGGGUGGAGGGAACAAGGCCGAAGCUAGAUUCAGAUGAGUUGGUGGUGCUUGUGUGAUGAGAAAAUUGAGACCAUUAGGUGUAACCAGAAGGGGAUGUGGAUGAAGAUAAGGAGUUUUUAUUUGCUUGUUUUUUGAGCAUAAGAAUGUUUAACAAACACUAAAAGGCAAGCAUAACCAGAAUUUUACAGAUGAGGAAACUAAUAUACCAAGAGGUUAAGUAACUUGCCCAAGUAGUUUUCACUUAUACAGCUUAAAAAAAAAAAAAAAAAAGAAUCCAGUUCUACUUGUAGCCACAGUCUGAACUCUAACCAAUGGGCUAUACCAUCGACAAGGGAAAAAACUGGCCCAGACAUAAUCCAAUUUUUGUACCUUUGAGUUAAAAGUCUACAGUUGAGGCUGGGCCUGGUGUCUCACGCCUGUAAUCCCAGCACUUUGGGAGGCCGAGGUGGGUGGACCACCUGAGAUCAGGAGUUGGAGACUAGCCUGUCCAACUAGUGAAACCCCGUCUCUACUAAAAAUACAAAAAUUAGCCAGGCUUGGUGGCACGCACCUGUAAUCCCAGCUACUCAGGAGGCUGAGGCAGGAGAAUUGCUUGAACCCGGGAGGCGGAGCUUGCAGUGAGCAGAGAUGGUGCCACUGCACUCCAGCCUGGCGACAGAACGAGACUCCAUCUCAAAAAAAAGGAAAAAAGAGAAGUGUUUGAGGCCAGGCUCGGUGGCUCAGGCCUGUAAUCCAAACACUUUGGGAGGCCGAGGCAGGAGGAUCACUUGAGGUUGGGAGUUUGAGACCAGCCUGGCCAACAUGGUAAGACCCUGUCUCUACUAAAAAUACAGUGUGUGCGAUGGCGCACGCCUCCAGUCGAAGCUACUCCGGGAGGCUGAGGCAGCAGAAUCACUUGAACCGGGGAGGCAGAGGUUGCAGUGAGCCAAGACUGCGCCGUUACACUUCAGCCUGGACAACAGAGUGAGACUCGUCUGGAAAAAGAAAAAGAAAGAAAAAGACAGGUCUGUUAGCAGCACAUAAAGCCAUAUGUCAGUAGAGAUUAAACCUCCCCACAACUGAUGGCUUCAUGCUCCAAACUGUACAAUAUUCUGCUUAUCUCUCUUCACUAGUCCAUAGAAUGUUGCAUUAUAAUGUAUCAGUUUUCCUAUCUGUGCAUCCACAAGCCAAAUGGUUUCAACUUUUUUUUUUUUUUUUCGGGGAUGGGGGAAUCACAGACUUGAGUAUAUAAUGAAGACAAUGGAUGUUUUCCCCAGAAAAAUGCACUCACUCACACACAAAAUGUUGAGUAUAGUUUCAGAGACCUCCAUCUGCAUCCCAAAGUAAAAACUUCUACCCAAAAUAGUGUUUUUCUUCAGGGCAGAGAGCUUG